CAUGUCUGCAGUUUCCAUGGCAACCGCGCUCCCCGCGAGGCCGCGACCCGGAAGGAACCGCAUCUUGCGAGGGCGGGCCAGCGAGUCGAGAUCGACUUCCGGGUCACGGCGUAGUGGGCUCUCACGUGGAGGCGGGGAAGUUUGGCCUUCGGGAAUGAUCACUAAGACUCACAAAGGAGACCUGGGCCUUGGGCUCCCAGAAAAAAAGAAGAAGAAAAAAAAGAAGGUAGUUAAAGAACCAGAGACUCAAUACUCGGUUUUAAACAGUGACAAUUAUUUUGCGGAGGUUUGUCCCACAAGAGCCACAUCACCCUCAAAGAAUAUGGUCCAAGAGCAGGCACCCGAAAUGCCUCUAAUGAAGAAAAAGAAGAAGAAGAAGGGUCACAGCACCGUCUGCGAGGAGCCCCUAGAACCUGAGACCGUGUUACGUGCCAGACGGAUUGAGCCAUCGCCCAGCCCCAGGAAGCAGGCACUUGGUCCAUCUGAGUCCCUCGGUAGGGAAAAGAAGAAGAAGAGAAAGUCCGUGUCCCCUGGCUCAAGGGCGAAGACCUCCCCAGACCCCAGGCAGGGCGAGGAGGUGACCAGAGUUGGCAAGAAGCUCAAAAAACACAAGAAGGAGAAGAAGUCGCAGGAAGCUACAGCCUUCUCAGCCAGGGACCCUUGGUUCUGUGAGGCCAGGGAUGCUUUGUACACUUGCUCAGUUGGGAAAGGUGGCGUCCCUGAGCAGGCAGCCUCGAGACAGAAACGGAAGCAGGGGAGCCCCAGGGAACACAACAUGAAGAUGAAGAAGAAAAAGAAAAUCCACCAGGAGGGAGAUAACCCACUGGGGCACCCUGAGCUCUCCAGGUCUGUGGAGAGCAGCCGUAGGAAACGAAGUAAAAAGAAGUUAGUCAAAGUUGAAGCUCCAGAAUACAUCCCAAUAGGAGAUGACCCCAAGGCCCCUGUGAAGAAGAAAAUGAAGUCCAAGAAAAAGGCAGAGCAGGCGGACACUGAGGAGCCAGCUCUGAAGAAGAAGAAGAAGAAGAGGCAGGAGAGCAGAGUAGCAGGAGAACCUUGGGAGGAGGAGCCCGACACGGACUUGGAGGUAGUGUUGGAAAAGAAGGGCAACAUGGACGAGGCGCACAUAGACCAGGUGAGGCGAAAGGCCUUGCAAGAAGAGAUCGAUCGUGAGUCGGGCAGGACGGAAGCUUCUGACGCCAGGAAGCAGCCGGGAACUCAGUUUGGCCAAUGGGAUACUGCUGGCUUUGAAAAUGAGGAAAAGAAACUGAAAUUUCUCAAACUCAUGGGUGGCUUUAAAAAUCUGUCCCCUUCAUUCAGUCGCCCCCCUACCAUGGUUGGCAGGCCCAACAUGGCCCUCAGCAAGAAGGUGGCCGACACCCUGCAGCAGAAUCUGCAGCAGGACUACGACCGGGCCAUGAGCUGGAAGUACAACCGCAGGGCCGGCCUCGGCUUCUCCACGGCUCCGGACAGAAUCUUUUAUAUUGACAGGAACGCAUCCAAGUCAAUCAAGUUUGAAGAUUAAACUCUCCUGUCUUGUCCCCCAAAACGGCCAACAUUGCUUUUAUUGUUCCGUUACGCAGAUGAAAGCCAUAGGACAGUUGUCUCGAAUGGAACUCCCGCAGAGAUAAAGGACAACUGUGUUGAUGUGCUUGGACAAACUGGGGUGAGGGCAGCUCGUUUCAGGAACCAGGAGAACGUGUGAGUGGCUGAAACCUACUGUUUUCUGUGUGAAGCUUCCGUCCCUGUUGAAGACAGUGAGUAUCAAUAGCUCACACUUGUCUAGUGCUUACUAUGUGCCAGGCACAUACGUGUCUCCCUUGCAUUAAUGUAUUUAAUCUUCAUGAUUCUGAAACAGGUGCUAUUAUUAUCCCCAUCUUAUAGAUGAGGAAACUGAAGUUCAGGGAUGAAGUAAUAACAUUGCCUGGGGCCACCCAACCAGUAAAUGCCAAGUGUACUUCUGUGCCCCAAGACCGAUGUCACUGUUCACCACACUGAGUGUCCCCUCUAGGGAAUUUCACCCAGAAUACUCACUGAGGACUAAAAUGUCUCAAUUGAGGAAACAGAAGCUUUUUACAUGCCUAAAUCUCAAACAGGAAGCAGGAUUCAUGUAAACAGGGAGAAGCAAGCUCACUUUCCCUCCCCCUUCUUGGAGUAGCCACAGGCAAAGAGGCGCCUGGAUUGCCACCAAGCAGACGCGGCUGAGCUUACUCCGCUGCUGGGAAAUGUGUUUCUAAACCCAUCUUGCCUUUUGCGUCUGCCGUCCUUCCAUCCCCAGUGCCAAGCUUGCAUUUAAUCUUUCUGCUUUAACUGGAUUCUGAACAGGCGUUUUAGAGAGCAGCUGGUUAGUCCUCCACAUGAACCAAUGGCACAUUAAUUCCCAGGGACGUGUUUAUUGGAUUCUUUUCAGUCACGAGGAGAAUCCCAGGCGACUUCCCUGGAGGAGGUUGAAUGCCAGGAGGCACAGACGUGGGGAUGACAGGGCGUUGCCUCAUCAGCCUGGGAACAGUGUUUCCAAGCCUUGACGCUACAGCCAGCCUCACGAAGCUCCAGGUGUAGCCCCCCCGAGUGACAUGUGACCACCUUCUCCGCAUUCACCUAGCAUUUUGCUUCCCAAAAUAUAAGUUCUGAUUGGGCCUUUUUCACACCACUUGGCUUGAACUCCUGCUACAGACAUCCUGUCUCAGGCAGGCCUGGACAGCCAGGAAAUUCAGUCUGUCACGUGGCAGGGAGCCCUGUCCUGUCGUAGGGGGUUGAUUCAGCUUCCCGUGAAGGAAACGAGUGUUUCCUCUCUGCUCCACCAUCCUCAGUGUUGGCUUCACCAGGCUGGUGGAAAGAUGGCUGUAGCAGUUCCAGGCAGCAUAUCAAGACACUAGACCAUUACAGAGGAAGAAGAAAAACCUUCUUGUGGAUCAAGGAAGCUCCCAGAAGCCCUUUUGUCAUAGCUCAUUGCCCAGCAGUGGGUCACGUACCCAUUCUUGAGCCAGCCCCUGGCGUGUGGAGGGAGACUCUCAGGCCAGUCAGGAAGGAAGACUGAGGUUCGGAUGCUAGUGAGAUGAACACGGGUCCACUACUGCCCCAUGGGGCAGAGGUGAGGCAGGCCUGCCUGGGCCCUGACCAACAAGCAUUGGCCGGGUCUGGAGUCCUACAAGUCUUUGUUAGCAGUGAUUCAGGUGGGCCACUUCCCUCAGAAGGUGAACUUGGCCUUUCAUGGAUUCAACCUUGAGAUGCAUAACGGAAGAGGCCUACAAGACUGGGCCUACCCAGAUAAUCCAGGAUUAGAAGUAGAAGAGGGAGACAGAAGAGUCAAGAGACUUGCAGGAAACACUCAACAAGCUGUCACUAGUUUGAAGAUGAAGGGACCACAAGCCAAGGAAUGCAGGUGGCCUCGAGAAGCUGGAAAAGGCAAGAAAACUGAUUCUCCCCUAGAGCCUCCAGAAGGAAUACAGCCCAGCUGACACCUUCACUUUGAAGGUAAGCCCACUGGACUUCAGACCAGUAGAGCUGUAAGGUGGUAAAAUUGGGACGUUUUAAGCCACUAAGUUUGUCGUAAUUUAAAGCAGCAAUAGAAAAUUAAUACAGGCCUCAUGCAGAAGUUUUUCUCACUUUCACCUUAUUUCCUAAAAUUUGAUUUUUUUGUUGUUGUUGUUCCAUCAUCCGUCAUGUAGUAGUAGUAGUAGACUUCAUCUCAUGUAGGCCAUGGUCUUCAGAGACUGGCUAAUUGAUUUAGUUAACAGGCUGAGGAAACCACACAAGAACAUAGAAAAUCUAAGCUUCCACCUGGGCCAGGUAACACAUGGUUCAGAAGCUGCUUUGGUGUAACAGAUACCUGACCGAAUGUGAAAGUCCGAGUCCAGGUUAAUGGAAGAGCAUUAGGAAUUCACUGACCCGGCUUGGGCACGGAUGCUGUCUGAUGUGUACAGCCUCAAAGUAGAUGACUUAAAAGUGCAUAAUUUGUAAAUUUGCCGAUUGAUUUUCAUUUGAAUAGUAUCAUAUAGUAAAAGUGGUAUAGGAAAUAAUUUUAAUGAAAAUAAUUUUGUGAAAUAAAGGCCACUUGGGAACAUUUGAGCAAUACCACCAUGCUUUCUGAAUGUCUGUUUUGUUCAGUUGAGGUGCAUUCUUUAGUACACGCUGUUCCUUAACGGAGGCCAUAUUCUCAACAGAAUCCUUGCACUGGGGUGGGGUGGGGUUCACUAUUAAGCCGGCCGGAAAAUCCAUAGCAUAUUCUUGGUCCCAAGCUAUUGAAUUAAAACAUGAGUUUAUGUAUAUUAAAAAAAUUUUAUUUUAGCUACUUUUACUGUGUGAACUGUAUCAGGCUUUUCACAGGGUAGAGGUGAAAUGUAGUCUAUCCACAUUCAGUGUGUACCUUCCAAAAGUACAAUAGUUUGGGGGCGCUUUUAAUCCACAACUUGGAUGCAUUUUCCUGCACAAGGGGUUCUAGGCUGUGAGUCACCACCACCACCAAUAUUAAUGCUCUUACUGAUUCAAAAUAAAAUGUCAGUAGAAGCUCAUUAGUGGUAGUACGAGAAUCAGAUUCCGCCAAACUGAUAAAAAAGUAGACAGGAUCACAUGCUGUUUAGGGUUAUGGCUG